UUUUUCACCAGUGUAACAGAUUGCCUCUCCUGCUGUUGUUUGCAACCUUUUUACAGUUGGCAUGAGUCUUCUCCAUCCCUCAUCUUUACCCCGAAAAGCCAAGUAUCAUUCAUAGAAGAAUGUUUCCUAGUUUGAUGAUUAUGAUUAAGCAGAGGGCAUGUUGCACAUGGGUAGGAGCCUGCCUUCCCAAGUCAUACUGCUGAGACAUGACCUUCGAUUGGCAAAGACCUUUGGCAGCAGAGGACUGAGUCAUUUUUAUCUGCUGUGUUGCCAUGGGAUUCUGCUGCCCUGGAGAUUCUUCUGCUGGCACCUGCAGCACCAGCAAUGUGCAUCACUUGAACUGGGAACUCUCUCAGGGAAGAAGCAAAGUAGACCCACCUGGGAACUUUUCAAAAUCAGAAAGUGUCAUUUCUGCAAUGAUUGAGUUCUCUUUUUUCCAUAAGUGAGCUAACUAGCUUGAUCAUUUUUGCUUUUAACCUGAUGUCAUCAAGAGCUAUGUGUGUGUGUGUCUGUGUGUGUGUGUUUAAGUAUAACUGACUUCUGAUGUAUCAAUAUGACAAAUGAAUUACUGUAUUGACUCACUUCUCUGAGCAUAGAAUAUCAAGAUGCAUAUCAUUAGGCUCUGCUAUUCUAUCUUGCUCAGAAAAACCUGAAAAAAUAAAAAACUUAAAAUAUUCA
rnacentral:lncRNA from 13 species